AGAGACACUGUUGUCUACAAAAGGUAUAAUUACCCUGCUAGCGGCUAUACAUAGGGCUUGUGCCCAGAAAGAGGAUAAAGCCAUAUCAAAACUCCCUACGAUUCCUGUAGUGUUUUUCCAGCUACUCCCCCACCGACUCCCCUCGGACCUCAGUUUGGGAUAGAACCUGACAAUUGGUGUCAUGAACAGGAUCCUGAGAUUUAGAAGCAGUGGCGUCCCUCUUGCGGCAACAUUUAGCAGCAUGUGGUUGGGCCGUCAACGAAUCCAAGGUCCAAGGUCCUGGAUUAUCUGCCAGAUUCUUGGGAGUUAUCUGGUCAGCUUUACAGAAAGAAUUCAGGAAAAGGAGAAAGCCUCUCUUACACCAAUCCCGCCAGUCUAUGUUGGUGGCAGAGAUGGCUCCAGUUAGUAGUUGCUGCCUAGGAGAUGAAGUGAAUUUCACAAGAAAGACAUAAGAAGCCAACAACUGCUAUUACCCCUGUAUGCACACAAGUUGAACCUAACGGCAUUAAAAGAAAAGUUGGAGACAUCCCAUCUACACAACACAGCCCAAAUGAUCAGCUGCAUUCCUGCAGAGCCAUCUCUUCAGUAUAUACAAAUGAAGGAGAUGAGCAGUAUUAUUUUAUUACCACAUUCACAAAAGGGACAAGCUGUGAAAUGCCUAGAUUCCAGAGCAACAGACUGUGAUCCAUUCCCAACAACCCCUCCCUACCGUCUGCCACCAGUUCCCUUAAAGCAGGAAUCAGAGCUAGACUGACUCAACUAAGAAUUGUUUUGGAGAACUUGGAACUCAACAUUCCAUAAAGUAAGUGUAAUAUUUUUUCUAAAGAAUUUUAUCCUCCUUUCACUAACGUCAUUCAAGUUUUAUCACCAAUAGCUCUAUAAACAUCAGCCUGAAGGCACAUGGAAGCAUAUUUCCUAAGGCUGCUAAAGCAUUCAUUCUCAACCCUAACUGAACAGUAGUAUAUGCUGCCUUGCAAUGAGGUUGAUAAACAGGGCAUAGAAGGUCAAGGAUUCUAAGCCAGGAGCAAAUCCCACACCGGUUCAACUUAAGCAGUACAUUAUUCCAGAAUAAUGCAAUCACCGGAGCUGUGCUUACACUACAAAUCUUAAAAGUGUCAUUCCAUUAUAAAAAGGGCUUUGAGAGCAUUAAUAAUCAUAGUCCAUCAGGAAAGUCCUUCAUUCAACUCAUGGUCCAAUCAAAACUGCCUUAAUGUUAUAGACUUUGGUAUGGCCUAUGUAGCAUCUAAAAUUAUUUGCUACAUUGAAUUUAUUACUGUGUUUGGCUGACUUUUUUUUUUUUUUUUAACUCAAGACACGCUGAUAACUUUUAUGCUAAGGAAGGAGAAGGCAAAACAAAAGCAUGACAGAAAGUGUAAAGAUUGGACUGCAGGAGAAGAUAUGUGAAUACUUUGAUUAUCCUGUUUGAUAUUGUCUUACUUUUGGGAGAAGAAAAGGAUGAGUAUUAAUAAGUCCAUCUUACAGAGAAAGAAAUGAAGGGUUGAAAAAGAGCUCAUACGGCUAGUAAGUGGUGGAGUGAAACCCAAAUGCCAGUGUUUUAAAAGGAUAUAGCCAAUAUUCCAGAGAAAAGGAAAUUUCUAUAAUAAGGCCACCAAACUUUUAGUAUAUUAAGUAAGGCACUGCUAUAUUUUCUAGAAAUUAUCCUUUUACAAAUACUUUUCAUAUAGAUAUCUAAUUAUUGUAUCCGCAAUUGUCGAAAAGACUCAACUCUCUCCCAUUGAAUUGUUUUGGUGCCAAAGUAGAAAUAGAUCAACUGUAUGUGGGGGGUCUAUUUCUGGACUCUUUUUUGAUAUAUUGAUUUUUUGUUCUUAUUUUGUCAGUACUGUUUUGGUCAUUCCAGGUUAUUUGCAUUACCACACAAACACAUAAAGCUUAUUCAUUUCUACAAGAAAAGUCUGUUGGGGUUUUGAUUAGUAUUGUUUGGAAUCUAAACAUGAGUUUGAGUAGAAGUCACUUAUCAACAAUACCUGUGUUGAAUAAUUCUAAAUUAUGAAUGCAGCGUAUCUUACUAUUUAUUUAGGUUCUCUUUAAAUUCUCUCAGCAAUAUGUUAUUGUUUUCAGUGUACUUGUAUCUAUGCGUUUUGCUAAAUUUAUGUCUAAGCGUUUUGCAUAUUGUGAUGCUUUCAAAUGAUAUUUUAAAAAUUUUAUAACAGCUCACUGACAAUAUAUAUUUAGAUAGAUUUAUAUGUAUAUUUUAUAUAUUUUAAAUUGAUCAUAUAUAUGUAUGUGCAUAUAUAUGCAUAUAUAUAUAAUGCUUGUAUCUUUUAGUCUUUCUAAAUUUAUUUAAUAAUUUUGAUGGAAAUUUUUUGCAGAUUGCUUAGACUGUUCUACAUACAUAAUGAUGCUGUCCGUGAAUAGAAAUUUUUACUCAUCCUUUCCUAUCAUUAAAUUGAUGUAUUCCCAUUAUUUAUUUCUUUUUUUGCCUAAUUACAUUAACUAGAAUGUCUAAUAUGAUGUUUAAUGAACGUGGUGAGAAUAGACAUUCUUGCUUUGUUCCCAGGCUUAAAAGAAAAGCAUUCAGUCUUUCAACAUUAAGAAAUGAUGUUAGCUCUGUGUUUUUGGUAGAUGCCUUUUAUUAGUUUAUGAGUCUACUUUCUACUCCUAUUGUUCUAGGCAUAUUUUUAUAAAUAAAUACAAAUUUUUUUCUUCUUUUCCCUUUUUGAAAUGGUUAUAUAAUUAUUUUAUUCACUUGAUAAGUUGAAUUAUAUUGAUGGAUUUUUUUAGUAAGAAUCAAACUUUCAAUAUUGGGGAAAACCUGAUUUCUUCAUAAGAUAUUAUCUUUCUAUGUAUCUUUGCGUUUGACUUAUUCAUGUUUUGUAAAGAACUUCUGAACCUUCACUCUUGAAGGAUAUUGGUCUCUUGUGUGUUUGUAUUGUAAAUGUUUUGUUUGGUUUUGGCAUUAGGCAAUGCAGCCUCAUAAAAUGAGAUAGAAAAUAUUUCUUCAUCUUGCAUUUUCUGAAAUAUUUUGUGUAAGCUUAUUUUAUUUCUUUCUUAAUUGUUUGUUAGCAUUCUCCAGUGAAUCCAUCUGGGCCUAUACGUUUCUUGGUGGGACGUUUAUUCAUAACUAUGAAAUCAUUUCUUUAGUAGAUAAAAGCUCUUUAAUUUUUCUAUUCCAUUUGGGUUGAAUGAAAGAGCUUUUUUCCAUUUCCCUUAUUAAGUUUAUUCAUAUUAAGUUGUGUAUUAAUUUUAUUAUUUUCCUUUUAUUGUCAGUAGCAUAUAGAAGGAAGUACUUUGUAUUAUUCCUGAUAUUGGUAUUUCAUUUUCUUUUUCUUUAUUUGUCUGGGAGUUUAUUAUUUCACUAAUAUUUUCAAAAAAUUAUCUCUUGGUUUUGUGAAUUCUAUGUAUUAUUUGUUUUCUAUUUAUUUUAUGGAAUUGUGGUUUUAUUUUUAUUAUAUCCUUUUUCUUGUUAAAAUGCUUUUUAAAGUUAUUGGUUUACAGUUUUAAAUUUCAACUUUGGUUUUAUAUUCAGGAGGUACACAUGCCAGUUUGUUAUUGGGUAUACUGUAUGAUGCUGAUGUUUGGGGUAUAAUUGGUCUCAUCACCCAGUCACUAAGCAUAGUACCCAACAGGUAGUUUUCAACCACUGCUAUCCUCUCCCCCUCAGUAGUUCCCAGUUUCUGUUAUUGGCAUCUUUAUGUCUAUGAGUACCCAAUGUUUAGCAGCCACUUAAAGUGAGAGCAUGUGGUAUUUGGUUUUCUAUUCCAGCAUUAAUAUGCUUAGGAUAAUGGCCUCCAGCUGCAUCCAUGUUGCUGCAAAGGACAUGAUUUUGUUAUUUUUUAAUGGCUGCAUAGUAUUCUAUUGUGUAUUUUUACCGCGUUUUCCUUAUCCAAUACACCACUGAUGGGUGCCUUGGUUGUUUCCAUGCCUUUGCCACUAUGAAUAGUAUUAUAAUGAAUAUAUGAGUGCAUGUAUCUCUUUGGUAAAAUGAUUUUUUUUAAUAUCCAGUAAUGAGAUUCCUGGGUCAAAUGAUAGUUCUGUUUUAAAUUCUUUGAGAAUUCUCCAAACUGCUUUCCACAGUGGCUGAACUAAUUUACAUUCCCUCCAACAGUGUAUAAGUGUUCCCUUUUGUCUGCAACAUGCCAGCAUCUGUUGUUUUUUUGACUUUUUAAUAACAGCCAUUCUGACUAGUGUGAAAUGGUGUCUCACUGUAGUUUUGAUAAGGUUGUAACAUUUUGAUUAUGAUGUAUAUUGGUGUGAUUUUCUUUGCGUUUUUACUACUCAGAGCUUAUUAAACUUCUUGGGUUUAUACGAUUAUAUUUUCCAUGAGUUUGAAAACUUUUUACCAUUAUUUCUUUACAUAUUUUUCCACCAUCCCUCUCCCAUCCCUAAGUCUCUUUUGGCCUCUUCUGGGACUCCAAUUUUAGGUAUAUUUUACUAGUUGAUAUCGUUUCACAGUUUAUUGAGAGUCUCUUCAUUUUUUUCCUCCUAUUUCAGUUUGAGUAGCUUCUAUUUCCCCGUAUUCAAAGUUACUGAUGCUUUUCUGUAGUUUAUAAUAUACUGAAAAGCCAACUGAUGAAUUUGUUAUUUUAGAUAUUAUAUUUUCAAUAUAAAAAUUUUCUUUCUCAUAAUUUGUAUUUUUCUAUUGAAAUCUUGUAUCUUUUCCCUCCUUAUGUUCAUUUAGUCCUUUUAAGUCCUUGACCAUAUUUAUAAUAGCUAUUUUGUGUCCUGGUUAGCUCUUUCCAUCAUUUCUGCAUCUCUUUAUUUUGAUUGACUUUUCUCAUACUUAUAGGGCAUAUAUUCCUGUGUCUUUGCGUGUCUACUCAUGUUUUAUUUAAUCCUAAACCUUAUAAAUGGUGUAUUUUCCUCUUAUUUAAAGAAGAUUGGAUUUGAUACUUGCAGACUUAAUUUACUUGUACUUCAGCUUUUUUAUAUUAAGAAUUGUUUAUAAGAGUCAUUACAUUUGGACUAGAGUAGCCUUAUUCCUGAGAUGUGAGAUUUCUGAAGUGUCAUUUAAUUAUCUGAAGUUUCAACAAGGUCUCUCUAUUCUGGCUGGUUGGAACUCAGAUUUUUCCAAUGGAUAUACAAGCUUUGGAAUCUUCACUGAGUUCUCAGCAACUUGGUAGGUAUCCUUUGCCCAGCAUUUUCAAGUAUCAUCCUGUGUGUGCAUACUUUAAUAAUCAGCCAAAGACUAAAUAGGAGUCUUAUGUAGGAAGCAAUCUAGAGCUCCUUUUCUUCACAGUUAUUGAUUCUCUUGUACUCUGACUGCAAAUUAGAUUCUGUAGUACUCUGACUGCAAAUUCCAGUCCCUUACAUUAUGUCCAAAACAUUAUGUCCAAACUUUGAUUUCUGUCUCUUCAGCUCAGAUACCUGUGUGCCUCUUGGUCUUCAGCUCCAAGUGCUAUGGGUGCCUCAGAGCUGAAAGCUGGGCAAUCAUGAGGCUCACCACAUUUGUUAUCCUUAUCUUGGGGAUCAUGGUUGUGUUCUGAAAAUAUAUUUUUCUUUUCACAUACUUUUCAUAUACAUAUUUGUUUAGUUUUAUAGUUAUUUAUAACAGAAUGGCUAGAUUAUUACCAGCUACUGUAACAUGUGAGAAUCAGGAGUCCUCUCCCACCCAUGAGCAUUAAAAAUCAAAUGAACAAAUAAAGCUUCAAGAAGACAGUCAAUUAUUCCCAUUUUCACCAAUGUGCUAAGUGCUGGCAUUGGUCCUUAAGAACCCAAACUUAUAACCAUUUGAUUAGUGAAACUUUUGGAUGGAGUAAAUGUAGCACUCAUUAGUUAUGUGAAUUUUUACAAGUUAUUUAAUGUUUCUGAGUUUUGCUGUCAUCUUUAAAAUGGAGAUAGAAAUACUCUUUAUAAUUGUUGUGAGGUUUAGAAGAGUGCUUUGAAGACACAUAACACAGUGUUUGACACAUAUUAAGCACCCUACCAAAUAUUAUUAUUCUGAAGUUAAAAGCUAAAAUCUUUAUUACAGUGAUGCUUAGAAAGUAUUUUCAUUAUAAAAACAGGGUAUAAAUGUAAUUUUAAAAUCCAAGUAGUACAAGAGAUUACACAAUAAGAAUUAUCUGCCUAUCACCUCAGAACUAGAAUCUUACUUCUGAGAGGUAACAUGAUCAAUUUUCAUAUGUACUCUUCCAAAAUUUUGCCAUGGCUGUACAAACCUCAGUUUCUGUAGCUUCUUCAUGUUUAUGGAAAUGGGAGUAUUUUAUACACAAUUUUCUCUAGCUUGCUUUUAUUCACCCAUUGAUAUAUCUUCAGUUUUGUUCCUUUUUACACCUACUAAUACAAUUCAUCCUUUAAUAACUGCAUCAUAUUCAUUGGUAUAAAUGUAACAAAAUUUGUUAUGUUUAUUGACAUAUUAUAAUAACAUUUAUUUAUUGACAGUAUUAAGAUAUUUUCAGGUUUUUGCUUUUAUUAAUAAGGCUGUAAGAAUCAUCUUUGUACAUAUAUGUUUGUGUAUGUGUGAACAUGACUAGGUAAGUUUCUACAACAAAGAUUGUUAGAUUAAAUAGUUAUGUAUGGUAUGACAUUUUGGUCAAUAUAGCUGCAUUUUCUUCCAAAGAGUUUCUCAAUUGGUGUUCCCACAAACAACACUGAUUUCUUAGCACAGUUUCUAAUACUGUAUAUUGUCAAACAAAAAUUUUGUGAUUUGAUACGUGAAACACAGAAAUUUAAUAUUUUAUUUUGCAUUGCUUUUGCUGUGGAAAUAGAUGGAACAUUUUUAUUUGGUUAUGAGCUAUUUGUAUUUCUAUCUAAAUAUCUAUUCUAAAUAUUUGCCCCUUUCCUAUUUCUUUUAAAUUGGUUUGUCUUUUUUGCAAGAUGUUUAAAGUAGAAUCAAGAGAUUAGUUCUUUGACCCAUAUUACAAAAAAAAUAUAUUUUUUUCACAUUGAGGUUUAAUUUAUUUUUGUUCAGUUUGUUGUUUUUAGUUUUAAAAGUUUUAUAUAAACAAUAUUUUUAAUUAUUUCCAUCAUAGUUUUUACUUUUUCUGUUCUUUCUUUCCUAUUCCAAUAUAUAAAAAUUAAACCAUGGAUAUUUUUGACAUUUCUUUCAAAAUUUCUAGUAUUUAAAUAUUUUAGUCACAUGCAAUAGAUUUUUAAAAUUAGAACUGAAUAAUCUGGUUUUUUUAAAAAUAAAUUGCUAGUCAUUUGUUGAAUAAUAUUAUUUCCUUAGUAACUCAUUGGAAAUUCAAUCCAAUAAUAUGUUUUCAUUUUUCACUUUACAUGUGAUAUUUCUCUUUUGCUAUAAUCCUGGGAGCCUUUACAAAUUUUACAGAGAGGGAUAAAUUUGCUAUACUUAUUUUUUGGUAGCAAUUCUAAUAUAUAUAAGCACACAUACAUUUUAUAUAUAGUAUAAAUAUACUAUUAGAAAAUGAUGUCUGAUUUACUGAUUCUAAUGAUCAAUCAAAACUGAUCUCAAUAUUUAUAAUACUGAUAAUAUUUUUUCUUCUCUCCUUUUAAGACUAAAAUGCAUUUUGUAAUGAUUAGUCUCGGUCAUAAGACUUAACAUAAUUCUCUCAGAGAGUUUUGGUCUGGCCAUAUAGCAGUUCGGAGGGAUGCCUAGCUCAUAAGAGAGAAUGAAAUCUGUGUGCUCAACUGCAAGUGUGAUUGGAUUUACAGAUUAGCAAAAUGGGAAAGAUCAAAGCCCUGUUAUGAAGCAGACCUACAAGCCUAGAGCUUGCUCUUGUAAGAAAAAUUGUUCUUUCCCACUAAUCUUUCUAAUCUUGACCUCACAGAAGGGGUUUGUACUUAAGAUAAUGUUAUCAGGAUGCCAAAUUCAAUCUCAGACCACAUUUCACUUUCUCUUAAUGUGGGUGAACACUCCUUUGGUGAAUAAAUUGGUAUCUCUAUGGAAAUUUAAGGCUUCAAGCAGAAUUCUAAUUCCAUUAAAUUGAUGUUCAACAGAACACACUGAAUUUUGUGGAAACUAUGGAGGUCUGCUUACUUACUCUGAAUUAAUCACAGUCUAAUUUUUCCCAAGUGGUAGAACUUCAUUGUUCUUAUGUUUGUGACUUCAGUGUCUAGCACUGUGCCUGUCACACAUCAAUUUGCAGGUUGAGUCAUUUUUUUUAAGAAUCAAAGGUAAAUUUGCAGUUUAUGCAAUUUUAAAAUUCUAAACCAUAAACCUAUAUUAUUUACAGCUGAACAGGAAUGUUUGGGAAGUUUUGAAAUUGACUAUAUGUGGGCAGAUAAUGAGUUUCUUACCUUCCUGUUUCCUGUAUUCGGUCACAACAUAAUCUUAAGGUGGUGAGCUUUUUCUUAUCCUGAAUGUUAGGAAUAUUGGAGCAUUUCAAAAUGCUUGUUUUAUUAAAAAUUUUUCCUCAUAUUGAUUUCUAUCUUGGAACAAAAUGGAAUGCAUCAAAAAUAGUCACAACUGAAACUGUAAUGGAAACAAUUUAAUAUUAUUGAAGCAGAGGAUGCUUCAGUGUAUUCCAGUUCCUCAGGGUCAUGAUAAUAUUAUCAUGGAUCUGUGUACUCACAUAUAUCCUCUUGCCUCUACCAUUAUAUGCCUCUUAAGAAUCAUUUAUAGUAUCUCAAAUUCCUGAAAUGAAUCAUUUUCUUCUUUACCUCUGGGUCUUUCCUUAGGCAAGAUCCCUAUUGGGAAAAUUUCUUGAACUUUUUUUCUCUUUUCAUUUAGCUACUUGUAUUAGCAUUUACUAGUCAAUGUAAGUACAAUAUCUCUAGGAUAAUAUCUUGACUUGCUAAAGCGUGGUUAUAUGCCCUUCCUAUGUGCCACAGCACCUUUCUUACUUCUCAUAUUUUGCAGGAGUUAAGAAGGGCAUUCCUCAUCUGUGACGCAAAUUCAUUGCAUUCUUUCUCAACUGAGUUUAGGUGGAGCCCCAGAAUAUUCUUUCUCUCUCUCUCUGUCUCUCUUUCUCUCUCCUUUUAAACAAUCUUGUUAAGGUAUAAUUGACAUACUAUAUAUAGUUAAAGUGUAUAAUUUUAUAUGUUUCCACAAAUGUGUACAUCCAUAAAAUCAGAAUCAAAAUCAAUAUAAUAAACAUAUCUAUCAAACUCAAAUGUUUCUCCAUGCCCCUUGUAGUCCUUCUCUUUUGUGCCUCCCUACCCCUACUUUACCCAGCAUUCAUACAGUAUAUGCUCUUUUUAUUCUUCUGGUUUCUUUUAUUCAUCACACUUAUUUUAAGAUGCAUCCUUAUUGUUGGGUGUUACCAAUUGUUCCUUACUUUUUGUUGCUAAGUAAAUUGGCUUAUUCAUUACACUGUUGAUAGACAUUUGAGUUGUUUUUAGUUUUGGGCUACUGAAAAUAAAGUUUCUAUGAACAUUCAUUUACAAAUCUUUAUAUAAACAUAUGCAUUAAUUUAUCUUAAAUAACACGGAGUGGAAUAGCUAAUUUAUACGGUAGGUACACAUUAAGCUUUCUAAGAAACUGCCAAAGUGUUUUUCAGCGUGGUUAGACCCUUUUAUGUUUCUGCCAGUAAUAUAUAAAAGUUUCAUUUACUCAGCACCCUUGCCAACACUUAAUAUGGUUAUUUCUGUUGAAUUUUAGACAUUCUAAUAGAUGUGUAGUGGUAUCUUACUAUAGUUUCAAUGUUAAUUUUUCUACUAACUAAUUAUGUUGAGCAUGGUAUCUUACUAUAGUUUCAAUGUUAAUUUUUCUACUAACUAAUUAUGUUGAGCAAGUUUUCAUAUGAUGAAUCCACCUAUGUGUCUUUUUUGGUGGAAUGUAUUAUCAAAUCUUUUGCCCAUGUUUUUCAUUGGGGUUGCAUGUUUUCUUUUGGUUGAAUGUUAAGAUUUCUUUAUAUAUUCUUGAUAGUCUUUAUCAGAUAUAUGACUUGAAAAUAGUUUUCCUAGUCUGCCUUUUUUUUCAUUCUUUUAGCAGCGACUUUUGAAGAUCAUUCAUUUCUUCUUUUGAUAAAGUCAAAUUUUUUAAUUCAUUCUUUUAUGAAUUCUGCUUUUGAUAAAAUAUCCAAAUAAUAUUUGUCUAACCCAAAGUUACAAACAUUUUGUCCUAUGUUUACGUCUAGAAGUUAUGUGGUGUUAGGUCUUACAUAUAGAUCUAUGAUCCACUUCAAAGUUCAUUUUCUUUUUUUUUUUUUUUUUUUUUUUUUUGAGAUGGAGUCUCUUUCUGUCGCCAGCUUGGAGUGCAGUGGCACUAUCUCGGCUUACUGCAAUCUUCGACUCCCUGGUUCAAGUGAUUCUCCUGCCUCAGUCUCCCGAGUAGCUGGGAUUACAGGCAUGCACCACCACACCCAGCUAAUGUAUUUUUAGUAGAGACGGGGUUUCACCAUGUUGGCCAGGAUGGUCUCGAUCUCCUGACCUUGUGAUCCAGCCCACCUCAUCCUCCCAAAGUGCUGGGAUUACAGGUAUGAGCCACAGUGCGCAGCCUCAAAGUUCACUUUUACGUGGUAUGGGUUCAAGUUCAAUAUUUUGUUUUUUUAUUUUUUUGCAUGUGGAUAUCUGUUUCAGUAUUGUUGAAAAGACUAUCUUUUCUCAUCUGCUUGCACUUGUGUCUUUGUCUAAAGUCAACUGACCAUAUAUGUGUAGAUUAUGUAUAAAUUUGUAUUCUAUUCCACUGAAGGUUGUUUAUCUUGAUGACAGUACCAUAGAGACUUGACUAUAGUAACUACACUAUAGUCUUAAAAGUUGGUUGGUGAAUUAAAGUCAAUAUUCAAAUGUGUUUCUUCUUCACAAAGUUGUUUUGACUCUUCUAGGCCCUUUGAAUUUCCAUAUUAAUUUUCGAUUCAACUUGUCAAGCUCUAUAAAAAGCCUAUGGAGAUUUUGAAGGAAUUGAAUCUAUAGAUCAAUUUAGAGAGAAAUAACAUCUUAACCUUUUUGAGUCUCCGAGUCCUUGAUCAUGAUACAUAGCAUCAUAUAUUAGGUCUUUGUAAGUUUGCUUCACAAGGUUUUUAUUGUCUUUAUUUUAUAAGACUUGUACAUCUUUUGCCAGAUUUAUACAUAUUUUAUAUUUUUGAUGGUUCUGAUUCUUUAUUUAAUUUCAACUUCCAGUUGUUCUUUGCUAGUAUAUAGAAACAUGAUUGAUUUUUAUACAUAAAUUAUAGAAUUUUCUGAAGAUUCCAUAGGAUUUUCAAUGUAAAGGAUCAUACUAUCUGGUAAUAGAUAUCUUUACAUCUUUCUUUCUAAUAUGGAUGUCAUUUAUUUCUUUUUCUUGAUUUGUGGUACUGGCUAGUAUCAUAAUUAUAGUAGUUAGUGUAAGUGAUGAGAAUAUGCAUGCUUGCUGUGUUUCUUAUAUUAAAGAUACAGCAUUCAGUUUCAUUAAUAACUGUAAUGUUAGGGGAAAGUUGUUUACAGAUGCCAUUUAUCAAUUGGAAGAAAUUCUCUUCUAUGUCUAGUAUGCUGAGAAGCUUUAUUGGGAAUGGAUAUGGAUUUUGGCAAAAUUUUUUUAUAUUUAUUGAGAUGAUCUUUUUUUCUGUUUUAGUCUCUUAUUGUAAUGAAUUAAAUGGAUUGAUUUUCAAAUAUUAAAACCCACCUCACAUU